rnacentral:rRNA from 1 species
CCUACGGGCGGCAGCAGUGAGGAAUAUUGGUCAAUGGGCGCGAGCCUGAACCAGCCAAGUAGCGUGAAGGAUGACUGCCCUACGGGUUGUAAACUUCUUUUAUAAAGGAAUAAAGUGAGGCACGUGUGCCUUUUUGUAUGUACUUUAUGAAUAAGGAUCGGCUAACUCCGUGCCAGCAGCCGCGGUAAUACGGAGGAUCCGAGCGUUAUCCGGAUUUAUUGGGGUUAAAGGGAGAGUAGAUGGGUUGUUAAGUCAGUUGUGAAAGUUUGCGGCUCAACCGUAAAAUUGCAAUUGAUACUGGCAGUCUUGAGUACAGGUGAGGUAGGCGGAAUGCGUGGUGUAGCGGUGAAAUGCUUAGAUAUCACGCAGAACUCCGAUUGCGAAGGCAGCUUACUA